rnacentral:rRNA from 1 species
UUAGUGAUCUUUAGAUUAUAAAGAAAGCUUCUAUUUGGGAUUACCUGUUUUCAAGCGGGAUGAAGAGGGUAGCAAUAACAGGUCCGUGAUGUCCUUUAGAUGCUCUGGGCUGCACGCGUGCUACAAUGUGAAUCACAAAGGAAAAAUAAAUCGAAAGAAUGCAUCACUUCUCCAAAGAUUCACGUAGCUGCAAUUGACAUUUGGAAUUAUUGUCAUGAACCAGGAAUCCCUUGUAAAUGUAUGUCAACACCGUACGUUGAAUACGUCCCUGCUCUUCACACACAUCGCCUGUCGCUCCUACCGAUUGGACGUUUUGGUGAAAAUACUGGACUUUAAUUUAAAGGAAGGUAUUUAAAUCAGCUCGUCUAGAGGAAGGAGAAGUCGUAACAAGGUAACGGUAGGUGAACCUGCCGUUGGAUCAGU